GAAUCCCCAGAAUUUGAUUUCGGAUUUGAAUCUGUUUCUUCAUAAUCAUCUCCACGAGUCCUAUUUUCUUCUACGAUUGCAUCUGUUGCCUUUUCGAUUUCACCUACUAGAUCUGAUUCUUUGUUAAAGCUUGUGUUCUUUGUACGCACCAUUCUCUUAUCCUUCACACAAAAUAAAUAACCGCAAAUUAACAACAAACUUGAGUAAUAAACAAAAUCAACAACCCCAAAUUAGAUUAACAAAUCGAAAACACCUAAAUCGACAACAUCCAAGCGGAUCUAACAUAAAAUAGCCAAAGAAUCAUUGAUUUUGACUUACCCAGAAUCAAGUUGUCCUUAGUUGUACUCGACGAACUGCUUGUGAUUUUUGGAUUUUUCAAACACUUAGGAUUUGAGAGUUUUAUGAUUUUUCAAUCGAUGAAGAAGACAA
rnacentral:lncRNA from 1 species